GAUGAACGCUGGCGGCGUGCCUAAUACAUGCAAGUCGAGCGAACAGACGAUGAGCUUGCUCCUCUGACGUUAGCGGCGGACGGGUGAGUAACACGUGGAUAACCUACCUAUAAGUCUGGGAUAACUUCGGGAAACCGGAGCUACUACCGGAUCAUAUAUUGAACCGCAUGGUUCAAUAGUUAAAGACGGUUUUGCUGUCACUUAUAGAUGGAUCCGCGCCGCAUUAGCUAGUUGGUAAGGUAACGGCUUACCAAGGCAACGAUGCGUAGCCGACCUGAGAGGGUGAUCGGCCACACUGGAACUGAGACACGGUCCAGACUCCUACGGGAGGCAGCAGUAGGGAAUCUUCCGCAAAGGGCGAAAGCCUGACGGAGCAACGCCGCGUGAGUGAUGAAGGUCUUCGGAUCGUAAAACUCUGUUAUUAGGGAAGAAAAAAUGUGGAAGUAACUAUGCACGUCUUGACGGUACCUAAUCAGAAAGCCACGGCUAACUACGUG
rnacentral:rRNA from 1 species